rnacentral:rRNA from 1 species
UACGUAGGCAGCGAGCGUUGUUCGGAUUUACUGGGCGUAAAGGGUGUGUAGGCGGUUUUCUAAGUUUGGUGUGAAAUCUCCCGGCUUAACCGGGAGGGUGCGCCGAAAACUGGGAGACUAGAGUGCGGGAUGGGAGAGUAGAAUUCCUGGUGUAGCGGUGAAAUGCGUAGAUAUCAGGAGGAAUACCGGUGGUGCAGACGGCUCUCUGGACCGCAACUGACGUUGAGAUACGAAAGCGUGGGGAGCAAACAGG